rnacentral:misc_RNA from 1 species
AAGUCGUAACAAGGUUUCCGUAGGUGAACCUGCGGAAGGAUCAUUAACACGUAUCCAACGUUAAAACCCCCCCGUGAACCUUCAGUGUGCUCGUACGCUUUGUUAGAAAGUAGCAAUCCCUGGUAAAUCAUCGCCGAACAGUUUUGAUUCAGGGACUUCUGCGAAGAGUGUGCUUGUAGCGCGAGGCAAGUGGCCUGGCAUCCUUGUCUGAAAGUGUCAAUGCAAAGGUUAUUAAGGGGCGUGAGCCCGGUGACCCGGUCGCCGGCCGUGUCGGCCUCUAGCGAUCGUGACUGCGCCACCCUUGAAAACGGGCCUGCGCUUAAUUGUGCGGCCAUAAACCGAACAACUGUUAACAAUGGAUAUCUUGGUUCUC